rnacentral:miRNA from 1 species
AAAUUGGAUCAAUUAUAGGAU